rnacentral:lncRNA from 1 species
UAAUAAUAAUAAUAAUAAUAAUAAUAAUAAUAAUAAUAAUAAUAAUAAUAAUAAUGUUUAUUUCUCAUCAAUACAUUUGAUGAAGGAUAGCUGCAGGUAAAAGCUGCUCUCCGAAAGAGGCAGCUUGACAAGGGCCCACAGCCACCUUUGAACACGACAGCAGUGGCAACAGUCAGCAAUGUCAAGUGAACAAUA